GACGAACGCUGGCGGCGUGCUUAACACAUGCAAGUCGAACGGGAUCCAUCUUUCGGGGUGGGUUUAGUGGCGAACGGGUGAGUAACACGUGGGUAAUCUGCCCUGCACUCUGGGAUAAGCCUGGGAAACUGGGUCUAAUACCGGAUAGGACACUGUCACGCAUGUGGUGGUGUGGAAAGCUUUUGCGGUGUGGGAUGGGCCCGCGGCCUAUCAGCUUGUUGGUGGGGUUUUGGCCUACCAAGGCGACGACGGGUAGCCGGCCUGAGAGGGCGACCGGCCACACUGGGACUGAGACACGGCCCAGACUCCUACGGGAGGCAGCAGUGGGGAAUAUUGCACAAUGGGCGCAAGCCUGAUGCAGCGACGCCGCGUGAGGGAUGACGGCCUUCGGGUUGUAAACCUCUUUCGCCAGGGACGAAGCGUGAGUGACGGUACCUGGAGAAGAAGCACCGGCUAACUACGUGCCAGCAGCCGCAGUAAAAC
rnacentral:rRNA from 1 species